rnacentral:lncRNA from 1 species
AUGAAGCCUACAAAAAUAAGUCCUCACAAUAAAGGCGACCCACCAGAUUUGAGGACAAAUCCUUUCCAAGAGGGAGGGGAUGAUACGCGGGCCCCAAGCCCAAUAAAUAAAGAACAACCCAAAAUCAAGGAGAAGGGUAAAAGAGUCAUUCCCAUAAAGGGAGGGGGGUAAGCUUAGUGAUGAAUUGAUCUGCAUAAUGAAAAUACAUGUUUCACUUCAUUUUCAGCACGCUACAUAUGGCUUUCAUUACGUAAACGUGCUCCAUUGGGGUUAUUCUAGAAGCUAGCACAUGGCCGAGUGGAUGUACUAUAAAUCCACCAAGGCAGCUUCUGUAAAUCACUUUUGGAUAUUAAGAGAAAUGUAUGUUGAUGCCUUGUUCCAGCCUUUUCUCCACCGAAAGUCAUUCACCCAGUGCUUCUUCCAACUUCUCCUCUAGCUUCCUUCCAAUGNUGAAGGCCUUUUGAGCUAGCUCCACACCACUGAAAGCACCUCACGCAUCUCGCCGUUCAUUCUUCAAACAUCACUACUGCAUACAUCCAUUGCAUCUUUCCGUUUUCAUCAGCUGCUACUGUUUUCCACCUUCGGAGCUCACGGAUCUGUAAUAUAGCGCCAAGCAUGGAGUAGAUGCUGUUAGUAACAUCCAUCAGUAGAUGUUUAAUCACAUAACAUCCAUCAGUAAAUGUUAAUUUUUCUUGUCUUCAUUGGUAUCCCUAAGUAGACACCAAUCUUUCUCAUCUUCAUUGGCAUCCAUCAAUAGAUGCCUAAUCACCUAACAUCCAUCAGUAGAUGUCUAGUCACCAUCCUCUUCAAUAGCAGCAUCCAUGAGUAGAUGCUCUCUCAAACUCUUCUAGCAUCCAUCAGCAGAUGCAAAUCUUUCUCAUCAACAUCCUUCAGUAGAUGUUAAUCUUCCUCUUCUUCAUCAGCAUCCAUCAGUAGACGUUGUCAGUACUACCAUCAGAACCAGCGCAUAACCUAAGAAAAAAACCUCAAACACACAAAAACAAAAUCAAAU